UGGAGGAAUUGAGCAAUGGCUGAGGUGGAAUUUCAUUUGAUACUUAAUGGAAUCCUCUGCUUCUGCCAGAGGUGGUGAAUUCUAUAUAAAGCUGCCAAACCUGGCCGUGUCUCCUCACUGAGCCUUGACCCCUUCCAUCCAAGGUCAAGGUAAACGAAUUGCUGUGCAUGACUCACGCAUAGUAACUGUGGCUUUGGGACUUAGUCCACCUGAGCAGAGCAAGCCUGCCUGGAGGAAGUGGGUCCUCUCCACUCUAACCUCUGGAUCUAAUGAGCAGCUACAUAAACUGAGACAGGAUAUAGACACAUCCUGCCUGAGUUAGCAGCAAGAAAUAGCUGCCUCCCCCCACCCCCCUGCAGUUCCCACACAGCAGGGAUCCUGCCAUAAAUCAAUCGGAAGUCUAAUGUGUAAUAGCACGCCAGCAAGGGCUGCACCGCUGUAUGUCUCCCAAGGGAAGAAACUGCCCAUGGGAAACUGCCCUCCGAAUCCUCAGUGCUGGUCCCUUAUUGGGAGCAAAGUUGGAGGUCUCUUGCUGCUGUUGCUGUCUCCUGGGUGAGCCCCUACAGACUGAAUGGGUAGAUGUUACUUGGGCCCUUUAAUGAAAGGUUUUGCCCCUCAUCACAGUAACCCAUGCUCUUUGUGAAAAAAAAAAAAAACAAUUAAAUAGAGAAAACACCAAAAAGAUACCUAAACCCUAAGAAUUGCUUGCAAUCUCUAGCACAUUAAAGUUAUUUACCUUUAGCCCUUUUUAUGCAUUUACGAAUAUUUGCUUUAUACUCUUGAGAUUUUACUGAAUAUGUGAUUUCAAGUGCUGAGCUUUUACGACCAAACAUUAUGUCAUGAACAUUUUCUAAUAUAAAAGUAGAAAAGCUGUUUAAUUCAUUUUAAUUACUAGGUUGUUUCAUUUUCUUUGCUAGUUGAAUAGUGCUGUGAUAAACCAUAUGAACAUAAAUAUCUGGAUUUCAUAAUUUUGUCCUUACUGUAUAUUCUGGCAAGCAGAAUUACUCAAUCAAAGGUUAGGAGUACAGUUAAAGCUUUUGAUACAUUCAUAAGUUGUGGCUAUAACCUUUACUUCUUCCAAAUCAAGAGUACCAGUGCUUAUCUCAGAGUUUCUUGCCAGAAUUAAACAGUAAAUUUAAAAUCAUAGUUAAUUCUGCACAUGAGAAACAUACGUUGUUAUUUGUGUUAGCAUAUUCUUUGAUUACCAGAAAGGCUGAACAUGCUGUCACAUGCUUAUUUACAAAUCUCAGGUUCUUUUAGGUUAAUAUUUUGUUCACACUGUUUCCUCAUUUGGAGGUGUGAUGGUUAAUACAGAGUGUCAACUUGAGGAGAUUGAGGGAUGCAAAGUAUUAAUCCUGGUGUGUCUGUGUGAGUGUUGCCAAAAGAGAUUAACAUUUGAAUUACUGAGCUGGAGAAGGCAAAUCCAUCCUUAAUCUGGUGGGCAAAAUCUAAUUAGCUUCCAGGGAAUAUAAAGCAGGCAGAAAAACGUGAAAAGGAGAGCUGGGCCUAGCCUCCGAGACUACGUCUUUCUCUCAUGCCUGAUGUUUCCUGCCCUGAAACACUGGACUCCGAGUUCUUCAGUUUUGGGACUUGGAUCAG
rnacentral:lncRNA from 13 species